rnacentral:rRNA from 1 species
GAUGAACGCUGGCGGCGUGCCUAAUACAUGCAAGUCGAGCGAACGGACGAGAAGCUUGCUUCUCUGAUGUUAGCGGCGGACGUGUGAGUAACACGUGGAUAACCUACCUAUAAGACUGGGAUAACUUCGGGAAACCGGAGCUAAUACCGGAUGAUAUUUUGAACCGCAUGGUUCAAAAGUGAAAGACGGUCUUGCUGUCACUUAUAGAUGGAUCCGCGCUGCAUUAGCUAGUUGGUAAGGUAACGGCUUACCAAGGCAACGAUGCAUAGCCGACCUGAGAGGGUGAUCGGCCACACUGGAACUGAGACACGGUCCAGACUCCUACGGGAGGCAGCAGUAGGGAAUCUUCCGCAAUGGGCGAAAGCCUGACGGAGCAACGCCGCGUGAGUGAUGAAGGUCUUCGGAUCGUAAAACUCUGUUAUUAGGGAAGAACAUAUGUGUAAGUAACUGUGCACAUCUUGACGGUACCUAAUCAGAAAGCCACGGCUAACUACGUG